rnacentral:tRNA from 1 species
AGAGAGGUGGCUCAGCAGGUAGAGCAUAAGUCUUACAUACAUGAGGUCCAGGAGUGGUGUUCUGACCUCUCUC